AUUGAACGCUGGCGGCAGGCCUAACACAUGCAAGUCGAACGAGUGGCGGACGGGUGAGUAAUGUCUGGGAAACUGCCUGAUGGAGGGGGAUAACUACUGGAAACGGUAGCUAAUACCGCAUACCAUCGGAUGUGCCCAGAUGGGAUUAGCUAGUAGGUGGGGUAAAGUCUCACCUAGGCGACGAUCCCUAGCUUGUCUGAGAGGAUGACCAGCCGCACUGGAUCUGAGACACGGUCCAGACUCCUACGGUAGGCAGCAUUGGGGAAUAUUGGACAAUGGGCGCAAGCCUUAUGCAGCCAUGCCGCGUGUAUGAAGAAGGCCUGCGGGUUGUAAAUUACUUUCAGCGGGGAGGCGUUACCCGCAGAAGAAGCACCGGCUAACUCCGUGCGAGCAGCCGCGGUAAUUC
rnacentral:rRNA from 1 species